rnacentral:rRNA from 1 species
CGCACAGGUGGUUUCUUAAGUCUGAUGUGAAAGCCCACGGCUCAACCGUGGAGGGUCAUUGGAAACUGGGAGACUUGAGUGCAGAAGAGGAUAGUGGAAUUCCAAGUGUAGCGGUGAAAUGCGUAGAGAUUUGGAGGAACACCAGUGGCGAAGGCGACUGUCUGGUCUGUAACUGACACUGAGGCGCGAAAGCGUGGGGAGCAAACA